UAGGGAAUAUUGGGCAAUGGACGGUAGUCUGACCCAGCCAUGCCGUGUGCAGGACGAAGGCGCUCAGCGUUGUAAACUGCUUUUAUCGGGGAAGAACGGCAGUCCUGCGGGAUUGUGUGACGGUACUCGAGGAAUAAGCACCGGCUAACUCCGUGCCAGCAGCCGCGGUAAUACGGAGGGUGCGAGCGUUGUCCGGAUUUAUUGGGUUUAAAGGGUGCGUAGGUGGUUGAGUAAGUCUGGUUUGGAAGUCAGUCGCUUAACGAUUGAGGGUGGCUGGAUACUGCUGAACUUGAAUGCCCUGGAGGUAGGUGGAACGGGUUGUGUAGCGGUGAAAUGCAUAGAUAUGACCCGGAACACCGAUUGCGAAGGCAGGCUACCGGGCCUUAAUUGACACUGAGGCACGAGAGCAUGGGUAGCGAACA
rnacentral:rRNA from 1 species